rnacentral:rRNA from 1 species
AUGGGGGCUAGGCAGGGAGGACCUUAUUCCAUCUUCAAGAAGCCGCCUCCGUCUCAUCUUCCUAAGCAUGGCACGAACCAAUGGGACCAAGUAUCUGCUCUGGUGUGGCUAGCUGAGUACGUGUGCUCGCAGCCCUCCUUCCUGUGUUCGAGGCACACCCUUCUCAGGGUGCCUGCUCAGAUCUACAUAGAAGAGCAGCAGCAACAACAACAACACAGCAGCAGACAGUCAAUCAGCGCUAUCAUGAAUGUUAUGGUCCUUUGCAUAAAUGAGGCAAAUGCUGAAGCACUUUUUGUUGGCAGGUGGAAAGGAUUCAUGAACCAUGAUGCCAGAAUUAUCUUACGGCUGAUUCUUAACCUUUCUUUUCCUGUUACUGUAUGUUACAGACAUUUUAAACUUAGCUAUGGAAUCUGUAGGUCUGUUGUUUGCUUGUCCUAUCAAGUUAAGAGGAAAAGGCAAAAGCUUCCGGUGUCUAAUCUCUUUCGACAUGUGCUGGCAUUCCAACGAAACAUAAGCCAGUAUCAUGGUAUUUCCAAUAGGUUGCAUUGCGUCUGA